UACGUAGGCAGCAAGCGUUGUUCGGAGUUACUGGGCGUAAAGGGUGUGUAGGCGGUUGGAUAAGUGUGGUGUGAAAUCUCCCGGCUCAACUGGGAGGGUGCGCUACAAACUGUCUGACUAGAGUGUGGGAUGGGUAAGUGGAAUUCCUGGUGUAGCGGUGAAAUGCGUAGAUAUCAGGAGGAACACCAAUUGCGAAGGCAGCUCGCUGGGACGUUACUGACGCUGAGACGCGAAAGCGUGGGGGAGCAAACAGG
rnacentral:rRNA from 1 species